UGGUGAAGUCCUUAGGACUAUUUAGACUCGACAAAGGAGGAUUUAUCGUUUAGUCCUUAAAUCUGUUCGCAACCAAAUGAUACGUUGUUACCAAGGACGACAACGUUUAUCAAGCAUAGGUCGUUGUGCGCCAUAUAGGUUGGUUGUCCUCUUAAUCAAUGAGUGUGGAGACACUGGUAUGGCAUACAGGUGAGAUGUAAG
rnacentral:lncRNA from 1 species